GGGAGGCAGUGUCUCCUCAAAAAAUUGGAUGAGAAAAUAAUCGAUAUUGCAAAAAUAAAACGACGCAAAUAUUACUAAAAAUGACAUUAAAAGUAUAAAAGUCACUCGUUUUUAUAAAGUUACACUGUCCAACAGCGACACCCGCAGGUAAAGUUACAGCGGUGGCUUGCCUCCCCUCAGCCCAUUGACUUAUAACAGAGACCCCAUAACGUGCCGUGGGUUUAGUGGAUUGAGAAUGAAUGGGGGAAAGUCACGUGAGAGGAAGCAAUGAAAUUGGAUGUGAUAGGUUCGUUCGAUAAAUCCCGCCUCUUGUUUUCGUGCGAGCUCUCGGCCUGAACGGACAAAAUGAUGGCGUUACUGACUAAUUAUAAACCUAGUGAUGGCCUCUGUCACUUGCAUCAACACCUCUUUGGACCGCAUAGUGAGAGUUGCCAUGAACAGCUACCAAAUGCAAAUUCAAAGCUUGGAAUCAACUCCAGACCUUUUAUCCCCUUAAUUUAUCAUGAAAUAAGGAGGAAACAGGCCGCACCUGGUUAUUAAACUCUUUAUCAGUCAAUUGUCUAAUUACUUUUGAGCCUGUGAAAAUGGAGGGCCUAUGUAAAAAAUGUCUGUGAUUCCUAAACGAUUAAUGUAAAACGAUUAAUGCAAUAUUUUUGUAAACUCCUUGAAUUAAAGCUGAAAGUCUACAUUUCAA